UACGAAGGGGGCUAGCGUUGUUCGGAAUUACUGGGUGUAAAGCGCGCGUAGGCGGACAUCUAAGUCAGGGGUGAAAUCCCAGGGCUCAACCCUGGAACUGCCUUUGAUACUGGACGUCUGGAGUUCGGGAGAGGUGAGUGGAAUUCCGAGUGUAGAGGUGAAAUGCGUAGAUAUUGGGAGGAACACCAGUGGCGAAGGCGGCUCACUGGACCGGAACUGACGCUGAGGCGCGAAAGCGUGGGGAGCAAACAGG
rnacentral:rRNA from 1 species